rnacentral:rRNA from 1 species
UACGUAGGGUGCAAGCGUUGUCCGGAAUUAUUGGGCGUAAAGAGCUCGUAGGCGGUUUGUCGCGUCGAAUGUGAAAACCCGGGGCUCAACCCCGGGCCUGCAUUCGAUACGGGCAGACUAGAGUUCGGUAGGGGAGACUGGAAUUCCUGGUGUAGCGGUGGAAUGCGCAGAUAUCAGGAGGAACACCGAUGGCGAAGGCAGCUCGCUGGGACGGUACUGACGCUGAGGCGCGAAAGCGUGGGGAGCAAACAGG